GCUGGCGGCGUGCCUAAUACAUGCAAGUCGAGCGGACAGAUGGGAGCUUGCUCCCUGAAGUCAGCGGCGGACGGGUGAGUAACACGUGGGCAACCUGCCUGUAAGACUGGGAUAACUCCGGGAAACCGGGGCUAAUACCGGAUAAUUCUUUCCCUCACAUGAGGGAAAGCUGAAAGAUGGUUUCGGCUAUCACUUACAGAUGGGCCCGCGGCGCAUUAGCUAGUUGGUGAGGUAACGGCUCACCAAGGCAACGAUGCGUAGCCGACCUGAGAGGGUGAUCGGCCACACUGGGACUGAGACACGGCCCAGACUCCUACGGGAGGCAGCAGAAGGG
rnacentral:rRNA from 1 species